rnacentral:lncRNA from 1 species
CAAGCUUCAUGGUAUAUCUUGCGUCUUAGAGCCUUCACUACUCAGUUAAAUAAAUAAAAAAAAAGUUUCCUUCGUUAAAAAUCAUAUCCGGCUUUGUUCAUUUGUUCAUAGAAGGUUUGUUUCCAUUUAUAGUUGAUGUCCAUUUAUAAUUGAUGUAACAAUAGCACUUUUAGUUAUUGAUUAUACUCUAGUUUGCAUUCACAAAUAUAGCAUAUAACAAAAACGCCAACAAGAAGAUGCCAACACUGCUAAAUCAUAUCAACCUCAUUGAGACUACUUUGUCUGUUAAUAUAAAGGGAAAAAAAAAAGACAAAUUA